UUUUUUUUUUUUACCCCAGCAACAAGAACGGUGUACAGUAUAUCUCCCUGGAUCCGUAGUUUGCUCUGGACACUGUUAAAAUCGGAACAACUUAGAAUUAGAUAAAUACAAUAUACAACAAAUAAACAAAAUGCCAUGGAAUAACUUCUGACUGCGGUAUUCUAACAACAGAAGUAUAAGGACCCGGUCUCCCCAUCUUCCCCCUGCUUAGUUGUUCAUCUUUUAAGGGUGACACUUUACAGUCCUCUGAAAUAAUUCAUAUCUUCAAAUUAGGUCUGCCUACAGGACUAUAUUUACUGACGUGACUGUGGUUACUCAUGACAAACCAGAAAAGUUUCAUGUGCUCCCAUUCUUGUGCUAACAUUCUUGUCGUCGUGCAUUAUUGUCGUGUCGACAUUUUAGGUGUCGAUUUCUGCUCAAAAUGGCUUGGAUACACGCAGCCGUUUAUCUUGUGAAAUACCAUUAGCAAUAAGCGUCGGACCUUAAGGCAAACGAAACCGGGGAGUGCAUUCUUAAUCUAAGCGGGAUGGAAUUCCUUCAUUCUUAUUUUUUUAUUGGAGUACGCCUAUCAUUUUCAGAGACGGGGGAUGUACAGUACGGAGAAAUUCCAAUCAGAAGAGAUCCUGUGGCACCGCGGACGAGACGCGUGGGAGAAGACACGAGUGCACGAAGACACAGGACCCCCACAGGUAACUCGAGGCACAGGCGCAC